rnacentral:tRNA from 1 species
GCCCCCGUAGCUCAGAGGAUAGAGCAGCGGUUUCCUAAACCGCGUGUCGCAGGUUCGAGUCCUGCCGGGGGCGCCA